CACGAUAAAGGCAAACCACGGGUGACCGUGGGACGCAAAGUAACAGGGUCUUUUGUCGGGGCGUAUGAUAAUGCGCCUCACAUCUCCGUAUAAAGACAGCCUUACUGCCGAAG
rnacentral:ncRNA from 1 species